CAGUCGCCGCGGGAAUACGAAGGGGGCUAGCGUUGUUCGGAUUUACUGGGCGUAAAGCGCACGUAGGCGGAUCGUUAAGUCGGGGGUGAAAUCCUGGAGCUCAACUCCAGAACUGCCUUCAAUACUGGCGACCUCGAGUCCGGAAGAGGUGAGUGGAACUCCUAGUGUAGAGGUGGAAUUCGUAGAUAUUAGGAAGAACACCAGUGGCGAAGGCGGCUCACUGGUCCGGUACUGACGCUGAGGUGCGAAAGCGUGGUGAGCAAACAGGAUUAGAUACCCCUGUAGUCCCUGUCUCUUAUAC
rnacentral:rRNA from 1 species